rnacentral:rRNA from 1 species
ACAUACGGCCACAGAUGACAGAAAACAGUGGUUCCCGUCCGCUCACCUCUCUUAAGCUGUCAAUCGGCAGAUUAGUAGUGCGGUGGGUGACCACGCAUGAAUACCUGCUGCUGUAUGUU